GCUGCCGCGCUGCGGGGAGGCGGCGGAGCUCGGCCCCCUCCCCGCGGCGGAGACCCCCAGCAGGGGCAACAGGAGGCUCAGGAAAUCAAGGAGGGUGAUUCACUGGGAACUAAAUAUGUGUCUCAUCUUCAGCAUGGCAACAGAUCCAGCACCUGCCUCUGGAAGUACAGUCACGUUCACAUUCGGCUUGCGCUGAAGGCGUUCUGAAUUUAGGUCUGCAGCGAGACUCCAGCAAACAUAGAGUCUUGGGAAAACUGGGAUUGGAAGAUUUGGGAAUGAUUAUUCCAAAAAUUGUGUGAAAAUUGAAAAUUUUCCAUUGUCUGCCAAGAACUUUGUGUUAGUCUUAUGAAAGAAAGGUAUGAAGUGAUAUCAAGGGCAUGUGUCUGCGUAUCCGGAGAACAUGAGCCAACAUGACCGCAAAGCUUCCAUGUGGCACAGGGGAGAGUAACAAGGGCACACUGAAGACAUCCAAGAUGCAGGGAGGACAAUUUUUGAACACAACUAUGUCUUAAGGGUAAACUUUAGAACUUGCUAAUUAUUCUCUAAAGCACCACUUGCAGUAUUCAGUGGGAUUCUGGCUGAGCAUGAGGCAUCCAAAAGGUAACUUCAUCCAUCUGCUGGAGGAUUCAGUGUGUCAGAGACCUGGCACUCAAAAGGGUGGCUUGAUCGCAGAGCAUCUAGCAAGCAGUCAUCUGAGAUACUCUCACCAUACACACAGCGUCAUUUAGGCAGCGGUCUAGGCGUGCUGAUGACCCCUACAAGCCAGGCUGUUUUUGAUUAAGUACCCAAGAGUGGUUUCAGAUGCCUGAUAUAAGACCUUUUCAGAUGAGGAGCCUAGUGUGACUUGGUCAAACCACUCCAUCACUGCACCAUAUAAUUUGAAGCAUAUAAUUUGACACUGUGUAAUCCAUCAGAGCUCAUCUAUCUCAACUAAAAAUGACUUUUGUACAUGAAUAUAUGAAACCCUAAUGCUGUCCCAUUUUCCAGUUCCCAUAAAUUAAAUGUGUUCAGUAGAAGACUGAGAAUAUAUAAGUGAAAGGAUCAACUCUCUGCCCUUUUACACUGGCAAAAGGUUGUAGCAGACUACAAUUAAAAAGUAGUCAUAACUUGUGCCACAAAAGAACCUCGGGUGAGCACAAUUAGAAAAAGAGAAAUGAUGGUACGUUGCCUCCAUAUGAUGGAAUUGCAGAUGGACAGUGAAGUGCCAAUAAUUUGAAGUGAGAGUGGCUGCUGUUGUUGCUAUUUUUUUUUCAACCUGCUCCAACAUCCUGUGCCAAAAAAUUUCAACAGCUUCCAGCUAUAAGGAAAUACAUAGGCAAAAUUUACUGCUGUAAGCAAAUAUUCAAGAGGAGGAUGGAGUAAUUCUCUGUGCUAAUCACUGUGCUGUCAGCAUGCUGUUGAGUUGUGAGUGCUUUCUGGAUGAUGAACAUAAUGUUAGAAAAAUAACCACUGUUUUUCUGUUUACAUGACUUUCUUUUUUUUUUUUUUUUUAAUACUAGUUUCACCAUCUUAACAAAAUGUCAGAUGCAGUUGCUUUACACUGGUUUCAGCAGAGAGAUCAACUGGAAUAACCUGUCAAUAUAAUAAUGCUCACAAAAAUGCAGGGAUGAAGAUAAGAUAAACCAUAGUAAGAUUGGUAGUAUAGCAGCAUCAUUAACUCUUUUUUCUUUCCAGCACUAAAUUUUCCACAGACAAGAGCGUUAGUAAUUUUAACUUUGAUUGAGAACUGCUUUUAUCCACUCACAGCAUGUGGGAGCAAACAGGCACUUGGAUAAAUCACAAAAAAAAGAAAACCACUUAGCAUGCUCCUUCCCACAACAACACCUUUUUGUGAAGGUGCAAGGCUGAGUGCUGCAGUGAGAGCAUGUGCAAAGACAGAAGCAAGGCUGCAAAAGCCCCCUGAAGCAUGCUCAAGGUCAGCCUCUCUCAAAGAAGAUCAGAAGGUCACAUUUGACUUAAAAGAAAUCAUGAAGAUGAGUUUCAUGAGUGACAUAACUGGAGCCGUUAGCAAACUCAUCCAAGAGUAAUCAUCCAUUAAAGGCACUCAGCCCUGGGGUCUGUUUGUCACCCUUCAACAACAGAUGAAGCAGACAGCGACUCCACCAGCAUGAGUAUGCAAGAGGUCAUCUUCUCUACAAUCAGUGCUGCUCCAGCAGAUUGCUGGGUGCGAAGCAAAUCAAACUGAUUUGAAACGUGGAGAACUUCACACAUGGUCAUUGAGAAGAGCACUACUUGCUGGACAGUCUCCACACAACUUCAACACUCUUACGGAAUGGCAUUUCCUACCAAGUGUGCCAACUGUGUCAGCAUGACAAAAGACAACUAGUCAUAAGGGUUACAAUUGCUCCUUUGACCUUGUUGGGACAGCCAUCAGAAUAAACUUUCAGAUCCUACUGGCUUUUACUGGAUGUAUCUUUGAUGCCAAUGCCUCCCCAAAGUAAAAGAAUCAGAGGAUGUUUGGAACUUUAUCUGCACUGUGUAGAAUCCAGCGAUAAAUUAUUCUAAUACAAAGGUCUAAUAGAGUUAAUAGAGCUUAAAAAACUGUCUGCUAUGUUUCAUCAUAUUUAAUUUGCUGCAACAACCUGGAGAUGUCCAGGUUUCAGCCUCCCUUUUGCAGCCAUUGAGUACUCUGAGAAAUGCUGUGCCAAUUGAGGAGUCCCUGUGUCACCAGAACCUCUGUAUCAAUGGGCAGUGCAAUGCUUCCAGAGCAUUUGGCUGCUUCUCAUUUUCCAUUAUGGUCCCAAAUGAAGCAGUGCCCUCACCACUAUGGGGAGAGUCACAAGGGAUGACCUACAGCCUGGUCAUCCCCAUAAAGAGUGGGCGUGCAAGAGGGAAGACCCAGCCUUUGGCCACCCACAGAUACAACCUCUUCUGGGACAUGAGCUUUGGGGUUGCUCAGGCUGCACAGAAGUUUGGCGCGUCUUGCCAGGAAUUUAGCCAGAGUUAUCCCCCUGUUGUGUUUUGUGGUUUGUGAGGAAUAUGAUGCACUAGUCCAGCAGCCUGUCCUGCUGCCUGUGCCCUGUAAUAGUGCUUAGCCAGAGAGCAGUGACUCACUGGUGUCCCCCAGCCCACAGGAUGGUGGGACCUAGAUUCUCACAGGAGCUGGGGUAUCACAGCAUGCACUCCGUGUCUCUCAGCGUUUGGUCAUAUUGGCUUACGUGCCACAGCAGGUGGCUGUGGCAAAACAGGCAUGUUGGGAUGUAGGGAACAGACAUAUGUAGCUGAAGCUUACCUUAGAAAAGGCAGUUACUUCAGAUGCUCUCCAGAUGAGGUGUGGUACUGAUGCUGCUGUCAUUAAUGUAACAUUAUUCAUUUUUAUCUAAAAAGAUUUUCCUAGGUAGACAAGGAUUUUUCAUUUAAACUAGAGUAAGAUGAGAUGGCUGGUUCCCUCUUUUAUUUUCUUGUAAUAAGUGCAGCAGUGGCUGUAAUCAGAGUCACGUAGGUUGGACCUCCAGAGGCCAUCUAGCCCAACCUCCUUCUCCAAUGUAAAAGGCAUAUUAGUCAACUCUAAGUAUGUUGUGCCAUGUGAAGGAUCACAUGGAAUGAGUUUUCAGGGGAUCAAAGGUCUCUUGGGAAGGGACAUUACCCAUCUCCUCAUGGGGUGAGAGUGUUGAUCUGCUGCAGGGUAGGAAGGCUCUGAAGCAGGAUCUGGAGAGGUUGGAUCAAUAGACCAAAUUCAAUUAUAUGACAUUUAACAAGGCCAAGUGCCAGGUCCUGCCAUUCAACCACCACAACCCCAUGCAGUGCUAGAGGCUGGGGGAAGAGUGUCUGGAAAUCUGCCCAGAGGAAAAGGACUUUGGGGUGCCGGUCAAUAGUAAUGAACAUGAGCCAGUGUGUGCCCAAGUGGUCAAGAGAACCAAUGGCAACCUGGCCUGGAUCACCAGCAGUGUGGUCAGCAGGGCCAGGACAGUGGCCAUCCCCCUGCAGUCAGCACUGGUGAGGCCACACCUCGACUGCUGUGUCCAGUUCUGGGUGCCUCACUUUAAAAGGGACAUAGUGAUCCUGGAGCAAGCUGGUGAAGGGUCGACUUCUGUGAGGAGCAGCUCAGGGAGUGGGGUUGUUCAGCUUGGAGAAAAGGAGGCUCAGGGAUGGCAUUAUCACUCUCUACAACUGCCUAAAAGGAGGCUGUAGCCAGGUUGGGGGUUGGCUUCUUUUCCUAGGGAAUCUGCAAAAGGACAAGAGGAUAUAAUCUCAAGCUGUUACAGGAAUGGCUCAGACUGGGCAUUAAAAGGAAUUUCUUCACAGAAAGCACUGUCAACUUUGGAACAGGCUGCCCAGGAAAGUGGUGGAGUCAUUGUCUCUGGAACUGCUUAAGGAACGACUGGACAUGGAACUUAGUUCCAUAGUCUAGUUGACAUUGUGGUAGCCAGUCAGAAGUUGGACUCAAUCUCAAAGUUCUUUUCUAACCCAAUUAUUUUGCAGUUCAAUGCCACCAGGGAUGCUGCAGCUGGAGGCAAAGGAUACUAGGGG